AGUGAACGCUGGCGGUAGGCCUAACACAUGCAAGUCGGACGGCAGCACAGUAAGAGCUUGCUCUUACGGGUGGCGAGUGGCGUACGGGUGAGGAAUACAUCGGAAUCUACUUUUUCGUGGGGGCUAACGUAGGGGAACUUACGCUAAUACCGCAUACGACCUACGGGUGAGAGCAGGGGAUCUUCGGCCCUUGCGCGAUUGAAUGAGCCGAUGUCGGAUUAGCUAGUUGGGGGGGUAAAGGCCCACCAAGGCGACGAUCCAUAGCUGGUCUGAGAGGAUGAUCAGCAACACUGGAACUGGGACACGGUCCAGACUCCUAGGGGAGGCAGCAGUGGGGAAUAUUGGACAAUGGGCGCAAGCCUGAUCCAGCCAUACCGCGUGGGUGAAGAAGGCCUUCGGCUUGUAAAGCCCUUUUGUUUGGAAAGAAAAGCAGCAGGUUAAUACCCCGCUGUUUUGACGGUACCCAAAGAAUAAGCACCGGCUAACUUCGUG
rnacentral:rRNA from 1 species